GAUGAAGAACGCAGUGAAAUGCGAUACGUAGUGUGAAUUGCAGAAUUCAGUGAAUCAUCGAAUCUUUGAACGCACAUUGCGCCCUUUGGUAUUCCAAAGGGCAUGCCUGUUCGAGCGUCAUUUGUACCCUCAAGCUUUGCUUGGUGUUGGGCGUCUUGUCUCCAGUCCGCUGGAGACUCGCCUUAAAGUCAUUGGCAGCCGGCCUACUGGUUUCGGAGCGCAGCACAAGUCGCACUCUUUUCCAGCCAAGGUCAGUGUCCAACAAGCCUUUUUUCAACUUUUGACCUCGGAUCAGGUAGGGAUACCCGCUGAACUUAAGCAUAUCAAUAAGCGGAGGA
rnacentral:misc_RNA from 1 species